AUUGAACGCUGGCGGCAGGCCUAACACAUGCAAGUCGAACGAGUGGCGGACGGGUGAGUAAUGUCUGGGAAACUGCCCGAUGGGGGGGGAUAACUACUGGAAAAGGUAGCUAAUACCGCAUACCAUCGGAUGUGCCGAGAUGGGAUUAGCUAGUAGGUGGGGUAAUGGCUCACCUAGGCGACGAUCCCUAGCUGGUCUGAGAGGAUGAACAGCCACACUGGGACUGAGACACGGUCCAGACGCCUACGGGAGGCAGCAGUGGUGAAUAUUGCACAAUGGGCGCAAGCCUGAUGCAGCCAUCCCGCGUGUAUGAAGAAGGCCUUCGGGUUGUAAAGUACUUUCAGCGGGGAGGCGUUACCCGCAGAAGAAGCACCGGCUAACUCCGUGCCAGCAGCCGCGGUAAUUC
rnacentral:rRNA from 1 species